rnacentral:rRNA from 1 species
UGAGCAAUCUGCCCUUCUCAUCGGAAUAAGCGUUGGAAACGACGUCUAAUGCCGAAUACGACCUCCUUUCGCAUGAUCGGAGGUGGAAAGCUCCGGCGGAGAAGGAUGAGCUCGCGGCCUAUCAGCUAGUUGGUGUGGGUAACGGCCCACCAAGGCUUCGACGGGUAGCCGGCCUGAGAGGGCGACCGGCCACACUGGGACUGAGAUACGGCCCAGACUCCUACGGGAGGNAG